UGUGGGUCAUAACUAAAGAAAAGAAAAGGGGAGCGUGUUAUUCAUAUGGAAUGAAAGAAAAGCAUAGGCGGAAAACCUAUCUACGCAUUGCCGCAACCGCAAAUCAGAUUGGGAACGAUUUCAAGCUUACUAAAAGGAAUUGCAAAAAAAAUCUUGAAGAUUCGUGGCACGUAUUCUGCAUUCAAGAUUCGAUUCCGAGUAGGAGCACAUCUCGUGGAGCAAAUUGAGUCUGGCUUGAAGUUCUUGGAGUUGUGGUGAGCUGCUUGGCUGUUCCGUGGCCCACACCUCCCUCUAUUUUUACGUAUUCUGUUAUUCAG